GGCUGUGGGAAGAUUGUGGAGAGGCCCAGAGGUGGCUUACUCCAGAGAGCUCAGAUGUGAAAAAUGCAGGAAGCAUACAGGCCCAAGGAAGAAGGACUGGACUGGGUUUCACCAAGGCCUUGCUCAGUGCUACCACCAGCCUCUACUACCUCCCCUCACAAGCAAAGCUUUGGUCACCUGACUUCCCCCACCCUGGGAACACUGCAAGAGGCUGCCCUGGAGCUGUUAUCUCCUCAGACAAGCUUGAGUGACCUCUUCUCUCUGGAUCUGAUGCUGAAGCGCUCAAUGGUUCAGAGAAGUGAACUGAGUUUGUGGGAAUUCAAUGGAUUGAUGUCAUAAAAACAUGACUUUGAGCCUGGGAGUGUUUCCCUCUCUUUCCUUUGCUCUGAGAAGUCCUGGUCUUCAUGAGUCACUUGUCAUCACCUAUUAUGUCUUCCUUCCUCCCUUUCCACAGGCCCAAAGAAAUAUGGCUAAGUGACUAAGUGACCAUGGACCUCAACCUCUGAAACCACUGACUGGCUGACACCAAUAAUCCAGGACCAUCUGCCAGCCUCAUGAUCCUUAACCAUUCAGCAUCUAGAGAGGUCAUUCUGCUGUAUAAGGUCACAUACUCACAGAAUUCAGGAAUUAGGAUGGCGCCCAGACAAGCUACCCAGCAAUCUAUGUCUGCUGUAGUCAGCUCUAUCUUGCUGGGAUGAAGAGCUAAACAGACAGUUUAGGGGAGGAACAAGUUUAUUUUAGGUUUACAGAUCCAGGGGAAGUUCCAUCAAUGGAAGAAGCUGCUUACUUCUGUACAUGCAAGUAGAGAGAAAGAAAGAAGGGACCCAAGCAAACACCAGCAAGCAGGAACCCUGAGCUCAAAACUGCUCUCUCCACACCUUUGGAAUUCAGAUCCUGCCCCAAUGACACCUCCUCCACCCCAUAGCAGGAAUCUGCCUUGUAGAGGCUGAAAUUCAAUUUUAACAAAACACCUGAGUCUGUGAUAGAAGAAAUUUGACAGAGAAACAGACCCAGAUAUCCUCCAAAACAGCUUCUAUUGUGUAAGCCUUUACCAGGAAGACAGCAUGACCUUGAAUCGCCUCCCUGUCUAUGCAGCUACACCCUGCUUGUAUGUUAUCUGGAUAGUUCAGCCAUAGACAAACUCCCCUGAACUUCUGUAAUUUUACACUUAUAGUCACA